rnacentral:lncRNA from 1 species
GGCCUUGCUCUUAUGUCAUCUGACUAAAGGUUUCAUAGACCAAAGAUAACCAUCCAACCUGUUGGAAUACUGAAACAAUUGCUGCCUGCUGUCCACACACGACAUAAAAUAUGUGGAUUUCCUAAAUUCUGAAAAAAAGAUUUGGAAGCUGAUCAAGCAAUACUGGAACACCCUCUUCUCCAGAAGAGACAUCCUGGCCUCCAUGCAGAGGAAUGUGUGGAUGGACAUAUAUUUAAGGAAGACACUAAACCAGAAACUACUACAUUACACCCUCUCAGAAGACUUCUAAGAUUGUUGUCAUGCCUACCAGAGACAUUCAGAUGAUGUGUAUUCUUGAUUGUGAUUUCAUGUUUGGAGCUGAUGAAGGAGUUUGAAGUCUCCAGAGCAGCAAGGGGAGUGGGGAGUAGAACUCAUCAUCUUUAGGUCACUCAUCAUCG